AGUUAUAGAUGCUGAGGGUGCUACAUACAUAUGAUUCUAGAGAGCCAAACUGCAAUAAUUGUGUAUUCACGUGACACUGACAUUUCUUUCAUGAAAACAACCCCAAUGUGUCAGUCAGAAAAGGUCACACUACCAGACUGUAGAGCAACAGCCAGUGUCUGACCCAGUCCAACCAGAAGUUUCUGUGACUCAACGGUGUACAGUACUCUCUGAGACCUGUACAGGAGAACACAGUGUGCCUACAGACCUGUGUCUACAGCCUCUCCAAGAACAACCUCAGUCUCUCUGAUGCUGGGACUUACUACUGCUGUGUCUACAUGCGGGGAGAUCCUGUUUGGUGAAGGAACAAAACUUAACAUCAUUAAAGGAAGCACAGUGGAUCCCAUUGUCCUCAGCUUGGGAGUAGCAGUGGCUGUGUGUGUGAUUGUAAUUUUCAUUCUUGCUUGUACCAAAAACAAGAGACAAACAUGUUAUCAUUGUAAAGCAAGUGUCUCUCAGCAUAUUCACCAUGAUGAUAACCUCUCAUCAGAGCAGUCAAGUGGUCAGGUAUGUAACAUCUGUAUUAUCCAGUGUGUGAAAAUAAGAGGUACAUUACCUGUUACACAUGAGUGUGCAUAUGUAACCGAUGUGAAAUGGCUAGCU